CUACGGGAGGCAGCAGUGGGGAAUAUUGCACAAUGGGCGCAAGCCUGAUGCAGCCAUGCCGCGUGUAUGAAGAAGGCCUUCGGGUUGUAAAGUACUUUCAGCGGGGAGGAAGGGAGUAAAGUUAAUACCUUUGCUCAUUGACGUUACCCGCAGAAGAAGCACCGGCUAAGUCCGUGCCAGCAGCCGCGGUAAUACGGAGGGUGCAAGCGUUAAUCGGAAUUACUGGGCGUAAAGCGCACGCAGGCGGUUUGUUAAGUCAGAUGUGAAAUCCCCGGGCUCAACCUGGGAACUGCAUCUGAUACUGGCAAGCUUGAGCCUCGUAGAGGGGGGUAGAAUUCCAGGUGUAGCGGUGAAAUGCGUAGAGAUCUGGAGGAAUACCGGUGGCGAAGGCGGCCCCCUGGACGAAGACUGACGCUCAGGUGCGAAAGCGUGGGGAGCAAACAGGAUUAGAUACCCUUGUAGUC
rnacentral:rRNA from 1 species